GUUGUCCUUUGUUGUUGCAAAUUCUGAUACCUGUUUCUUGUCAAAAACAAUUUUAUAUUUCACACUUUCUCCUUGUUCAACUUCUGAGGUUAUGACCCAUCUGAAGAUGCUUGUCAAACUCAACCAGUAAUUUAGUUUUCAUUCUUGAGAAAUCAGAGGUAAAAAAAUAAUGAUGACCAUGUCUGUUGUAUUGUUGCUAUAACCUCCAGUGGAGGAUCCAGCCAUUUUAAAAAGGGGGAGGAGGUUCCCAACCCAGGAC
rnacentral:lncRNA from 1 species